rnacentral:lncRNA from 1 species
GUUCAGGCAGUGAGACUAAAAACAGCAGUGUAGCUGUUCCCACGUGGGCUGGAGCUGGGGCUCUGAAACCUGACAAGGGGGAAAGGUCUCUGAGUCUGGGCUCCAGCCUGAGCGGGAAUGUCUGCAUUGCUAAUUAUAGCCUCACAGCCCAAGUCAGUUGAUCCAGGCUCUGAGACUUGGCGCUGUGGGUUUUUUUUGCAAUGUAGACAGAGCUUAACUGGCUUUGUGCUAAAUCUCCCAACUGCAGAGUCUGGACUUCUCUUCAUGUACAGCAUUACAGCUGUGUCACUGUAGCGCUACAGAGAAGACGCUUCUCCCAUUGGCGCAGUUAAUCCACCUCUGCGAGAGGCAGUAGCUAGGUCGUGGGAGAAGCUCUCCUAUUGACAUAGCGUUGUCUACACAGGGGGUUAGGUCGGUCUGGCUACAUCACUCGGGGUGUAGUUAUACCGAUAUAGGUCUGUAGUGUAGACCUGGCCCCUCUCUCUCCCCUUUUAUGAUACUAACUCUGACCUUUGAACAUUUACAUUCUAGGAUUACGAUCAUAAGGAAAAGAAGUUUGUUUCAAACCGAGCACUAGCCCCUAAAGACAAUGAGGAUAUUAAUUCCCAUGACAGUAAUGCUACCUCAUCCUCAGUGGAAGAAUUAGAGAGUGAUACACUGACAAUGGAAAAGGUGCACAGGGUGCAAGGAGGAAGCCAAGAGACUGCAGGAGAAGACGAAGGCUCAUGCCAUCCAUAUAAGGCUAAUGAUGGUGACAGAGGGUCAGGGUUGAUUUCAGAUGGAACCUCAGCAGUGGAAGCACAGACAGGAAAAGGAAGGCGGUCAGAGGAGCAGAGGUACGUUAACCCCUGAGAGCAUGGACUUCUGU